CGCUUGUUUUGUUAGACUCCUGCUUUGCCAAAUCAAAACAGUCAGAAAUCAUAAAAAUAAUCCACACAAUCUGCCUGAAAAUGCAGUUUUCUAGCAUCAUUUUCCUUAGUUUACAGCAUCAAGUCCUUCUUUCUGCCAUCAAAAUUUUGCAAUAGAGAGAGCAUGACUUCCUCUUCUCAUAAGUUCAGCUGACAAGACAGGAUUUCUCCCUGGAUCUUGGUGCAUUACAUACACCUGUCAAGCAGAAGCUUCAAGGCAGCCUCAGGGGAGCAUCUCUCAAAGACACUCCUGCAAUAACAAUGAACUCACCAUCCAUUUGCUGCCUGUUUCUUUGAAACGAUGAGCAAGUUAAGAACACACUGACCAAACCACUUCAAUUUGCACUUCUCUAGGGAAGAGUAUGGUAAUGCCUGAGUUUGGACCUGCACGUCUUCCUGCACACCUACCAGUGAGGACAGCCUGAGUAAUUAAGCACUUUGGAUGUUGAAAGCAAUUUGGACAUCUCCUAAACCCAGAGCUGAAUUUUGCUGUUUUCUGCAAGGAAUAAGGGCGUCAGAAAUCCAGAGCAAGCUGAGGACAUGCAUGGUGGGUGAAGGCAGGAUUUCACUCCCGGGUGCUGGGAGGACCUUUCCCCUGGAGCUGACUGUGAGAAGGGAUGUCACCAUGAUCGGUUCUGGUAAUGUUCACUCUGCCUUCAGAGCAAUUCUUUCCUGUAAGGAUUAAACAGCUUUCUCGUGGAGACAUUCAUGAUACUGUGACAGAGGACUAAGAUAUCCCCCAGCCUUCCUAAAGGUGUAAUUUUUUAGGUAGUACUUUAUGGAUCCAGGAGUUGGACUCGAUGGUUGUUGCAUGUCCUUUCUGAUUUGAUAUCCUAUGGUUCUAUUCUAUGAUCCUCCUAGAGAUCUUCUGAAUAGAAUCCGGUGAGUUCAGCAGUUUCGUGGAUGCCCCAAGCAUGGGUUUCCACCUGUGUGGUAUACUGAUGACAGUGAGGCUCUCCUGGGAAUCCUCUCUGGGGGCUGUGCAGAUGAGUGGGGUUCUGCAGCUCCUGGUGAGG
rnacentral:lncRNA from 1 species